rnacentral:rRNA from 1 species
CCCGCACAAGCGGUGGAGCAUGUGGUUAAUUCGAUGAUACGCGAGGAACUUACCUGGGCUCAAAUGUAUGUUGACGUAUUCUGAAAGGGAUACUUCUUCGGACAAUAUACAAGGUGCUGCAUGGUUGUCGUCAGCUCGUGCCGUGAGGUGUCGGGUUAAGUCCCAUAACGAGCGCAACCCCUAUCAUUAGUUGCCAUCAGGUCAAGCUGGGGACUCUAAUGAAACUGCCUACGCAAGUAGUGAGGAAGGUGGGGAUGACGUCAAAUCAGCACGGCCCUUACGUCCAGGGCUACACACGUGCUACAAUGGCCGGUACAAAGGGCAGCUACCUGGUGACAGGAUGCUAAUCUCAAAAGCCGGUCUCAGUUCGGAUCGGAGUCUGCAACCCGACUCCGUGAAGCUGGAAUCGCUAGUAAUCGUGAAUCAGAAUGUCACGGUGAAUACGUUCCCGGGCCUU